rnacentral:rRNA from 1 species
AACCUGGUUGAUCCUGCCAGUAGUCAUAUGCUUGUCUCAAAGACUAAGCCAUGCAUGUCUAAGUAUAAGUAUUAUACAGCGAAACUGCGAAUGGCUCAUUAAAACAGUUAUAAUUUAUUUGAUAAUCGAAUUUACAUGGAUAACCGUGGUAAUUCUAGAGCUAAUACAUGCUGGUAGGCCCGACUUUUUGGAAGGGCGGUAUUUAUUAGAUAACAAACCAAUAUUCCUCUGGUCUAUUGUGGUGAAUCAUAAUAACUGAUCGAAUCGCAAGGUUUUUAACCGCGAUAACUCUUCAAGUUUCUGCCCCAUCAGCUUCGAUGGUCAUGUAUUGGACUACC